rnacentral:rRNA from 1 species
AAAUUGAAGAGUUUGAUCAUGGCUCAGAUUGAACGCUGGCGGCAGGCCUAACACAUGCAAGUCGAGCGGAAACGAGUUAUCAGAACCUUCGGGGGACGAUAACGGCGUCGAGCGGCGGACGGGUGAGUAAUGCCUAGGAAAUUGCCCUGAUGUGGGGGAUAACCAUUGGAAACGAUGGCUAAUACCGCAUGAUGCCUACGGGCCAAAGAGGGGGACCUUUGG